CCCUUAGAUGUUCUGGGCUGCACGCGCGCUACACUGAUGCGAUCAACAAGUUUUUCCUAUGUCGAUAGACACGGGUAAUCUUUUGAACUCGCAUCGUGAUAGGGAUAGAUUAUUGUAAUUAUUAAUCUUCAACGAGGAAUUCCUAGUAGGUGCAAAUCAUCAGUUUGCAUCGAUUACGUCCCUGCCCUUUGUACACACCGCCCGUCGCUGCUACCGAUUGGUUGAUCUGGUGAAUUAUUCGGACUGCCGGCUGAAGGGGUUUCCUCAUCUGCCAGCGGAAAGUCUUGUUAACCCUAUCAACUAGAGGAAGCAGAAGUCGUAACA
rnacentral:rRNA from 1 species